CAAUGCCUCAGUUCUUUCUGCUCGGUCCAUGCCUUGACAAGAGCCGAGUCCACACGUAUCAUCGCCAUCCUUCUCACACGACAGUCCUCCUCUGGCCGCUCGCACUCCAGCCAGGCAGCGAACUUCCGUCAGCGAGCCCACACAACACCGCUGCUGAGACGUCCUGGCAGAGGAGACAAGUGACGUGUGACAUCACUGCCUUGCCAAAUAUGUCGGUAGGAGUACGACUCCCAACAUGUCUGCAGGCGUCAUAAAGUGUCCACCGGUCCAGUGUGUCAGCUCGGAGUGCCCGCCUUGUUCCGUGUGCUCGGGCUGUGUACUUCGACCUCCAUCCGGAUUUUGGACUGCCUGCCUCGAUCUUCGACCCUUGCCUGGACACGGACCUUGUCACUUCUCUCCUGCCCUCAACCUCCUGCCUGUCCCUGGACUUCCUUUGAGCCUCGCCCGCUUGGACUGACGAAGAUUUCAUCCAUCACGCACACUUAUGAGGUGGGUCGUGCAUGCUUCACUCACGCUUGCAGUGAGGGACGAGGCAAAGACUUAGCCAGACCCGGUGGACCUGCAAACUGUCACAGUUAUGCACAAAUGGCAGUGCUGCAGCCAGAGGGAGGCGGUCAUGUGACAGAAGAUCAUGUGACAGACGAUCAUGUGACCAAAUUUUAUUUGGAGCCAUUGAAAUAUAUCGGUAUAUUUAAAGACAUGGGAAUAUCUUUGAUAACUUUUCUGUUGGAGGUGAGUUCCAUCAAGCAAGUCUGAUAUAAAAGAACUAAAAAUGCAAAAACUGGACAACACGGUGUUGCAUUGUGCUCAUGUUCAUAUUUAGACCUUCCUCACAUCCAUUAUGAAAUCAUACGUAGACUUGAAGUCACAAAGUCAGUCCUACUUGUUUAUGCUUGUGUUGGUGAGAGACGACAUCAUUCAACUUUGUGUUAACAUGUCUUUAUGUUGCCUAUUAUUGAUAUUAAUCAUGGAUACAAAGUGUGUUUGUGCUGCCCCCUAGUGGCAGAUCACCUUUAAGAACUUCUCAGCAGGGUGCCAAGCAGCGUUGGAUCUCCUCUAUGGAUAUCACAUAAUACAAUAAAACAACACAAGAAGAAAUGCAUCCAUGUUGACAAAUUGUGACAAAAACAAUAUUAUACAAUGGAUGU